rnacentral:pre_miRNA from 1 species
UGGGGUCUCACCGGCCACUAUAUGUUGCUGUGCUCUCAUACUGGCCAGCGAAAUCCCAAA